UGUGGAAGUAUCGAUGAUUAUCUCUCCAGAAGUUGAAAAGUAUUUGUACUUCAUUAGUACAAUGAGAUACCAGACGAGAUUAAUUAGAGAUUAAUCACUUCUUUAAGCCUACCUUGAAAUACUUUUCUUUUUUUAUCAUUAUAUAACACUGAUUGAGUAACUGAUAAUUAUUGUUAUCAAGAAAGGUAUUUAAAUAGUGCUGUUUUGCUAAUAAAAUCAAUGAUUAUGCACAACAUAAUCGAAAAUCAGUGGAAGUAAAUGAUUAAGCUUUUUUUAUUGUAGACUCCAAAGGAUCAUUUGGUUACCUUUUGUUUUCUUUUCACCAGUUUUAUUGGUUCUGUGUUUAACGAGAUGGAUCAUUAGAUAUUGCUUUCAAGCUUUCUAAAUUGCUGGAAAACAAUUAAAUUCAAAGCUAAGACAAGUUUUCGCUUAUAUUUACAUCAUUUAUCAUAAUUCCUGCUGGGAAAUAAUCCUGUUGAUUCUUCUGUUUGGUCAAGUAAAUGGUUUAGGAGAGAAUUUGACUAGGAAGGCAAUCAUGGAAUUAAUUCGUCUCACAAGGAACCGCAACUUGCACUCACAAUUAUCCUUUCACUGGCAAUGUGUGUUUUCAAAAUGGCAGCAAUAGUCUCCAAAUGGUUGCAAAUAGAGAGGAGGACAAAAACAAAAGAAAGUAGGGAAAGACAAUCCGAGUUAACCCGAAUUCUGGUUUCUCCUAAUUGAUUGGUGUCAAUAACAAACUGAUUCUGGCAAAUUGUCUUCACUUCAAUACCAUUACCAUUAUUAUUCAAUGUUUGGUCCAGCAACUUGAGAUGGUUUACCAUUUUACAUCAUCUUUUGUCUUUCAAGUGAGGCUCUUGUCAAGUAGUAAUUCAAAAAAAGAAACUAAGCUGAAGACUAAACCUGAGGCUAAACUGUAAUGGCGGCUAUGGGAUCUCCACACCCUGUUUACAUUUAAUUAUGGACUCACACAGAAAUAUCAAGAAGAAGAAGAUGAAAAGAUGUUGACGAUGAGAAUGAUGAAAAAAAUGAUGAUGCUGAUGAGAAAAGGCAAGAAACUUGAAUGCCAUUACAGUCAUCAUCAUUGCUGGACCUGAUCAAUUUAAUUCCCAUUUAGCGAUGAAACCAAAAAUGGACUACUUUAUUCCAAUUUAUGCUGUCUUUAAAAUUUAAAUUUAGUCAUUUAAAUGGUUAUAAUGUAUACAUUUUUGCUGUUUUCGCGUGAACCAAUUUCACUAUGUUAUUUGUAGAUUAAUAAUUGUUACGAGGACAUAAAUCGGUGAAAGUGAGAUUAACAUUAAAUGGAUUAUAUUGAAGACUCUUGGAUCAUUUUUCAAUGUUACCCUCAACUUUCAAUCUCAACUGAUUGUGGCUCCUCAAAUUAGUAAUUGAAUAAGGUUUGGCUUUGAGCGGACAAGUCCAACUAUUGCUGCGUAAAGUUCAGGCUCAACACUGUGGGUUGAUCAAGUUAAUGGUCAAGUUAAAAGGAUAAAAUGUGAAGAUGAAAGCGGAACAAAGUCGGGUAUAAACAAUGGAUAAGAUGGCAAAGCCUAAAGAUUUGAAGGAAAAAGAGAAACGAUAAAUUUCAUGGUGAAUCAAUUUCAAAUGAAAUGCCAAACUGAAGUAAUGACAUCACCCAGCAAUGGAUUAUCCAAGCAUAGAUUCAGGUUCUGGCCUUAGACAAGUUCAAUUUUGAUAUAAUUGUUGGUAUUUCUUAUUGGAAAAUCUGGUUAACUUUAACCUUAUUGACACCAUAUAAUUUUCACUGACCCUGAGAUUUUCCUAUCAAUUGAUAUUGCUGUUAAUCUUUCUGGUCCUCAUCGUAAAGUAUUAUUUUACCUUGAAAGUUGAACCAAAUUAAAGUCAAUGGUUUGGAUGUUGAACAGGCAUACAAGUUGAAUCACGUAAAACUGAUUAAAUGGAUUCGCCGAAUUACCAAGAAGAAUGAAUUAGAUGUUAAUGAUGAUCAAUUUUUGUGUUUAACCAUUUUUUACCUUGUUAGGAAGUCUUAUUGUUUACCUUUUUGUUUUUCACUUGUUGCUGCCUUUACAUGAUUUUCAUUUUCAUCAUGCAAACAGGAUUUUGUUUAUUGUUUCAAAUUGAAUCAGUUAUUCACAUAGAAGUGGGCUUGUUGAUUAUGUCCAUCAAACCGUGAUGAAGAUGAGGAUGCAAGAAGAAGCAGGUAGAGUUGAGUGAAAAAAGUAGAUAACUCACAUCUUGUGGUGAAGGGAAACCUUGCUAACCUAAACACACACCUUUAUUUACAUGGAGAAAACUCGUUCCACUGGCUUUUCAUACUGCUUCACAUUUGACUCACCUUUAUCAUUAUCCAUUCAUUAAAUAAUGUUUAUGAUAAUUUAUUGGUUAAAAUCGGUUGUUCUAAUGGUGAUUGAAGAUUAAGAUAAUUUGAUGAUGAUGAUUGUCAGCCAUUAAAUGCGACUCAACAGAUUGACUUGAGUUUAAAAAUGAAAGUGGGAGAUGAAAAUGUCUAACAACUUGUUGAUCCAAUCAAAUUGCUCAUCAGUUAAUCUCUUCAAUUCAUUUCAAUCUUUUUCUUCUUCUCAAUCUAAUUAUUUCCUCUCUUCAUUUCAUCAACUUCAUCUGUUAACCAGAACCAGUAAAUCACAGGAAAUCCUAGACUAUUUCCGUCUUUCAAAUACUUGUUCAGUUGCUUUUUUUAUUCCUAAACCU